CUUCAUGGAACAAGUGGGAUGUAAGAUGCAUCUUCAAGAGUGAGUGACAUUUUGGCAUGGCAUUUGAGAGGUGACAGUCCAGAGGCUAUGAGCAACAGCCCCAGAUGGGAAAGCAUCAAGGAGUGAGGAAGCUUACGAGCAAAAAGAGACAAGGGACUUGUCCAAAGCAUGAACACUUUAUAAACAAUUUAACAAAUGUAAAC
rnacentral:lncRNA from 1 species